rnacentral:rRNA from 1 species
UUUUCGUAGGUGAACUUGCGGAAGGAUCAUUG